UGGAUUAGUGGCGAACGGGUGAGUAACACGUGAGUAACCUGCCCCUGACUCUGGGAUAAGCGUUGGAAACGACGUCUAAUACUGGAUAUGACUGCCGGCCGCAUGGUCUGGUGGUGGAAAGAUUUUUUGGUUGGGGAUGGACUCGCGGCCUAUCAGCUUGUUGGUGAGGUAAUGGCUCACCAAGGCGACGACGGGUAGCCGGCCUGAGAGGGUGACCGGCCACACUGGGACUGAGACACGGCCCAGACUCCUACGGGAGGCAGCAGUGGGGAAUAUUGCACAAUGGGCGAAAGCCUGAUGCAGCAACGCCGCGUGAGGGAUGACGGCCUUCGGGUUGUAAACCUCUUUUAGUAGGGAAGAAGCGUAAGUGACGGUACCUGCAGAAAAAGCACCGGCUAACUACGUGCCAGCAGCCGCGGUAAUACGUAGGGUGCAAGCGUUGUCCGGAAUUAUUGGGCGUAAAGAGCUCGUAGGCGGUUUGUCGCGUCUGCUGUGAAAUCCCGAGGCUCAACCUCGGGCUUGCAGUGGGUACGGGCAGACUAGAGUGCGGUAGGGGAGAUUGGAAUUCCUGGUGUAGCGGUGGAAUGCGCAGAUAUCAGGAGGAACACCGAUGGCGAAGGCAGAUCUCUGGGCCGUAACUGACGCUGAGGAGCGAAAGCGUGGGGAGCGAACAGGAUUAGAUACCCUGGUAGUCCACGCCGUAAACGUUGGGCGCUAGAUGUAGGGACCUUUCCACGGUUUCUGUGUCGUAGCUAACGCAUUAAGCGCCCCGCCUGGGGAGUACGGCCGCAAGGCUAAAACUCAAAGGAAUUGACGGGGGCCCGCACAAGCGGCGGAGCAUGCGGAUUAAUUCGAUGCAACGCGAAGAACCUUACCAAGGCUUGACAUACACCGGAAACGGCCAGAGAUGGUCGCCCCCUUGUGGUCGGUGUACAGGUGGUGCAUGGUUGUCGUCAGCUCGUGUCGUGAGAUGUUGGGUUAAGUCCCGCAACGAGCGCAACCCUCGUUCUAUGUUGCCAGCGCGUUAUGGCGGGGACUCAUAGGAGACUGCCGGGGUCAACUCGGAGGAAGGUGGGGAUGACGUCAAAUCAUCAUGCCCCUUAUGUCUUGGGCUUCACGCAUGCUACAAUGGCCGGUACAAAGGGCUGCGAUACCGUAAGGUGGAGCGAAUCCCAAAAAGCCGGUCUCAGUUCGGAUUGAGGUCUGCAACUCGACCUCAUGAAGUCGGAGUCGCUAGUAAUCGCAGAUCAGCAACGCUGCGGUGAAUACGUUCCCGGGCCUUGUACACACCGCCCGUCAAGUCAUGAAAGUCGGUAACACCCGAAGCCGGUGGCCUAACCCUUGUGGAAG
rnacentral:rRNA from 1 species